rnacentral:tRNA from 2 species
GAGUCCGUAGCUCAGUUGGUAGAGCAUUCCCCUUUUAAGGGAAUUGUCCUCGGUUCGAGCCCGAGCGGACUCACCA